rnacentral:rRNA from 1 species
GACGAACGCUGGCGGCGUGCCUAAUACAUGCAAGUAGAACGCUGAAGGAGGAGCUUGCUCUUCUGGAUGAGUUGCGAACGGGUGAGUAACGCGUAGGUAACCUGCCUGGUAGCGGGGGAUAACUAUUGGAAACGAUAGCUAAUACCGCAUAACAGUAGAUGUUGCAUGACAUUUGCUUAAAAGGUGCAAUUGCACCACUACCAGAUGGACCUGCGUUGUAUUAGCUAGUUGGUGGGGUAACGGCUCACCAAGGCGACGAUACAUAGCCGACCUGAGAGGGUGAUCGGCCACAAUGGGACUGAGACACGGCCCAGACUCCUAAGGGAGGCAGCAGUAGGGAAUCUUCGGCAAUGGACGGAAGGCUGACCGAGCAACGCCGCGUGAGUGAAGAAGGUUUUCGGAUCGUAAAGCUCGGUUGUAAGAGAAGAACGAGUGUGAGAGUGGAAAGUUCACACUGUGACGGUAUCUUACCAGAAAGGGACGGCUAACUACGUG